UACGGGGGGAGCAAGCGUUGUUCGGAUUUACUGGGCGUAAAGGGCGCGUAGGCGGUCAGCACAAGUCAGUUGUGAAAUCUCCGGGCUUAACUCGGAAAGGUCAACUGAUACUGUGCGACUAGAGUGCAGAAGGGGCAACUGGAAUUCUCGGUGUAGCGGUGAAAUGCGCAGAUAUCGGGAGGAACACCGGUGGCGAAGGCGGGUCUCUGGGCCGAUACUGACGCUGAGGAGCGAAAGCGUGGGGAGCGAACAGG
rnacentral:rRNA from 1 species